UACGUAGGGUGCAAGCGUUGUCCGGAAUUAUUGGGCGUAAAGAGCUCGUAGGCGGUUUGUCGCGUCUGCUGUGAAAACUCGGGGCUUAACUCCGGGCCUGCAGUGGGUACGGGCAGACUAGAGUGCGGUAGGGGAGACUGGAAUUCCUGGUGUAGCGGUGAAAUGCGCAGAUAUCAGGAGGAACACCGGCGGCGAAGGCGGGUCUCUGGGCCGUAACUGACGCUGAGGAGCGAAAGCGUGGGGAGCGAACAGG
rnacentral:rRNA from 1 species